CGAACAAUGCUUGUCCCUUACGGUGGCCCUUGGUGAAGGAAGCCCCAGAACCCAGACUUAAGUCCGAUGGAGAGCCCCAGGGGCCCUAGAGGAGUGACCUGGAGGUGGCUCCCCACAGAUGUCACCAUUGGGCUGGGCUGGACCCUGAGGAAUCAAUCAGUCUGCAGGCUGCCAGAACUCCCUGUCUGAAUACAGCCCCUCCCCACACGUCUGCAGCCUUGGCCUGGACAGUGUCUGGAAGAGCUCCGGGCCACUCUGACUCAGCAAAUGGUGGAAUGACCAGCGCGUAAUUUUAGAUGGUUUGAGAAAGAGCCUGGAGUGAUGGGAGAGAGUUGAGUGUCUGCUGCCUCCAGAGGGAGUGAGAACUGUUCAAGAACUUGCUGUUGGAAGCCGUGAUCCCUGCCACAAAUUCACAGAGGAGUACCACCACAUACAGGGCUGGGUUCUAAAGAUAGUUGUUCCUAUCACUGCACGUGACUUGUCAGGGGAACUUUUCUCUGAUGCUCACGUGAAGCGGGAACUUGUCACAUCUUCCAUCUCCGGGAACGUCCUCACCUGAAAUUGAAA